rnacentral:misc_RNA from 1 species
CCAAACUUGGUCAUUUAGAGGAAGUAAAAGUCGUAACAAGGUUUCCGUAGGUGAACCUGCGGAAGGAUCAUUAUAGAAUAAACCUGGUGGACUGUUGCUGGCUCUCUUGGGAGCAUGUGCACGUCUGUCAUCUUUAUAUCUCCACCUGUGCACCUUUUGUAGACCUGGAAACAACUUUUAUUCUGAGGAGACUCAGUUGUGAGGAUUUGUAGGCUUCAUCUAGAAGUCAGCUCUCCUUCAGUGUCCAGGCCUAUGUCUUUUCAUACACACCAAAAAAUGUAUUAGAAUGUCAAUUUAAAUGGUCUUUGCACCUAUAAAACAUUAUACAACUUUCAGCAACGGAUCUCUUGGCUCUCGCAUCGAUGAAGAACGCAGC